AGAAAUAGUAAACACCCAACUUUGCUUUAUAGUUCCCUUGGUUUUAACUCUGUGCUAGAGCAAUAUCUGUUCUUUACCUCUGCAUUGAAAGGAGUAUCCUUUUAAGUGUAUUCAGAAAGUCAGCACAUUA